AUAUAUAACGACUCUCGGCAACGGAUAUCUCGGCUCUCGCAUCGAUGAAGAACGUAGCGAAAUGCGAUACUUGGUGUGAAUUGCAGAAUCCCGCGAAUCAUCGAGUCUUUGAACGCAAGUUGCGCCCGAAGCCAUUCGGGCCGAGGGCACGUCUGCCUGGGCGUCACGC
rnacentral:rRNA from 1 species